AUGAAACAUAAAAAUUAGGAACCUUUUAAGACAAAUCGGCCUCCCGGGGGAGCAAUUUCAGACCUUAUAUUUAGUAAAAUAUCUUUUUUGGUGUGCAAACAUUAUGACACCAACAAUCAAAAAACUGAAAUUAACUGUCUGUGUCACAGUUUAUAGUAUUCGUAAGAUUGUACCCAAAAAAACAAAUGUGUAACACUAAAUAUUUAUUGAAAGAUAAUAGUCUACAUACCCACAUGCUUACACCCUAUUGUCACCAUAGUGGAAACUCAUUUAAUUCAAAAUAAAUUAAAAUUAAAAAUUGUAAAAAUAAAUUCUAAUUAUUAUUUAGUUCUAACAUCAAAUCAUUUAUCAAUGGAAGACAACAUUAUAUACCUAACUUUUUUAUACUAUAAUAUAGAGAUAAUGAUAUAUGAAGAAGUAUUUUUUCGGAUAAUGUAUGUUGUUAUAAUUCAAGGUUUUUACUUUUUAGAUUAUAGAGGUUGCAUCAUACGAAAAUUUCGAAAAAAUAGAAGUGGGAGAACUAGUCCAAUGACGUCAUUGUAGAAUAAAUUGUUAACAUUGUAAACUACAGUGAACAAUCAACAACUAGAGCUAGCAGAUACCUUGAGUUUACCAUAUUAAUUAUUUGAAUAUGUAUUUAUUUAAUUUUCACUAUAUUUUCAUUGCUUGUACAUUUCACAAGUUUAUACGUACUAUGAAAUCAAAGAUAUUAAAUCAGAAAAUGAUGGAAAAUCCAACAUAUUAUUUCACAAAUUUCCAAAAGAUCUAAACUAUCGGAAAGAAUGGGUUCAGAAAUUCAAAAGAGGUAACCAUUUUAAUCCGAAUACAUAAUUUAUUUGCUCUGAUCACUUUAAUAUUAAUGCAUUUGUUCGAGACUUAAAAGCAGAACAACUUUUAGGAUAUAAAUCUUAGAGUCGAAGAAUUAAAGAGGAUGCAAUCCCUACGUUAAAUUUACCAGCUGACUGAGUAUCGAAUACAGUUAAAUCUGCAUCAACCAUUAGUCGUAGAAGUAAGAUGGAAAGAAAAUCAAUAAAAGAGGUUAAUAUUAAAUUUUAUAUUCAUGUAUUAAUUUUGUCCCUGUAUAUAACCACAGGCAAAUACUUAAGCAAAAAGUUUUUUUUUACUAAUA